UACGUAGGGUGCAAGCGUUGUCCGGAAUUAUUGGGCGUAAAGAGCUCGUAGGCGGUUUGUCGCGUCGAAUGUGAAAACCCGGGGCUCAACCCCGGGCCUGCAUUCGAUACGGGCAGACUAGAGUUCGGUAGGGGAGUCUGGAAUUCCUGGUGUAGCGGUGGAAUGCGCAGAUAUCAGGAGGAACACCGGUGGCGAAGGCGGGAUCCUGGGCCAGUACUGACGCUGAGGAGCGAAAGCGUGGGGAGCGAACAGG
rnacentral:rRNA from 1 species